UACGUAGGGUCCGAGCGUUGUCCGGAAUUAUUGGGCGUAAAGGGCUCGUAGGCGGUCUGUUGCGUCGGGAGUGAAAACUUACAGCUUAACUGUGAGCGUGCUUUCGAUACGGGCAGACUUGAGGCAUUCAGGGGAGAACGGAAUUCCUGGUGUAGCGGUGAAAUGCGCAGAUAUCAGGAGGAACACCGGUGGCGAAGGCGGUUCUCUGGGCCAUUACUGACGCUGAGGAGCGAAAGCGUGGGGAGCGAACAGG
rnacentral:rRNA from 1 species